UUAAAUUGAAGAGUUUGAUCAUGGCUCAGAUUGAACGCUGGCGGCAGGCCUAACACAUGCAAGUCGAACGGUAACAGGAAGCAGCUUGCUGCUUCGCUGACGAGUGGCGGACGGGUGAGUAAUGUCUGGGAAACUGCCUGAUGGAGGGGGAUAACUACUGGAAACGGUAGCUAAUACCGCAUAAUGUCGCAGGACCAAAGAGGGGGACCUUCGGGCCUCUUGCCAUCAGAUGUGCCCAGAUGGGAUUAGCUUGUUGGUGAGGUAACGGCUCACCAAGGCGACGAUCCCUAGCUGGUCUGAGAGGAUGACCAGCCACACUGGAACUGAGACACGGUCCAGACUCCUACGGGAGGCAGCAGUGGGGAAUAUUGCACAAUGGGCGCAAGCCUGAUGCAGCCAUGCCGCGUGUAUGAAGAAGGCCUUCGGGUUGUAAAGUACUUUCAGCGGGGAGGAAGGGGAUAAGGCUAAUAACCUUGUUCAUUGACGUUACCCGCAGAAGAAGCAC
rnacentral:rRNA from 1 species